CAGUGACAGGUGGUGCAUGGCUGUCGUCAGCUCGUGUCGUGAGAUGUUGGGUUAAGUCCCGCAACGAGCGCAACCCACGUCGUUAGUUGCCAGCAUUCAGUUGGGCACUCUAGCGAGACCGCCGGUGAUAAACCGGAGGAAGGUGUGGAUGACGUCAAGUCAUCAUGCCCCUUACAUCCUAGGCUACACACGUACUACAAUGCUACGGACAAAGGGCCGCAAGCUCGCGAGAGUUAGCAAAUCCCAUAAACCGUGGCUCAGUUCAGAUCGUAGGCUGCAACUCGCCUACGUGAAGGAGGAAUCGCUAGUAAUCGCAGGUCAGCAUACUGCGGUGAAUACGUUCCCGGGCCUUGUACACACCGCCCGUCACACCAUGGAAGUGGCCACGCCCG
rnacentral:rRNA from 1 species